rnacentral:rRNA from 1 species
GGCCGUAAAGAGSCGACCUCUCUGGUCUGUAACUGACGCUGAGGAGCGAAAGCGUGGGGAGCGAACAGGAUUAAAAAACCUGGUAGUCCACGCCGUAAACGAUGAGUGCUAAGUGUUAGGGGGUUUCCGCCCCUUAGUGCUGCAGCUAACGCAUUAAGCACUCCGCCUGGGGAGUACGGUCGCAAGACUGAAUACUCAAAGGAAUUGACGGGGGCCCGCACAAGCGGUGGAGCAUGUGGUUUAAUUCGAAGCAACGCGAAGAACCUUACCAGGUCUUGACAUCCUCUGACAAUCCUAGAGAUAGGACGUCCCCUUCGGGGGCAGAAUGACAGGUGGUGAUGGUUGCCGUCACCUCUUGU